GCCAGUGUGGCGUAGUGGUUUGCGUGCUGGACUAUGACUCGGGAGACCAGGGUUCGAUUCCCCGCUUGGCCA
rnacentral:tRNA from 1 species